UACAUCCUGUGUUUCAAAGAAAACGGUAGCGUUGAUAUCGUGCUUCUGUUUUAUCUAUUACGUGUGGGGCUGCUUGCUCACUCAGCAAUUGUACCAUUUUUAACAUGUUGGUGUUGAAAUAGCCUGAUUCAAGUAGUACUUAGGCAGGAUCUGUUACUGACAAAGCAUUGAUAUUUACACUAUGGAUGUACUCCCUCUGUCUCAAAAUGUAACAUGUUGGUGUUGAAAUAGCCUGAUUCAAGUAGUACCAUUUUUUGAUGUCUUGCAUUUUGAGACAGAGGGAGUAACAUUUUGUCCAGAUGUAUUUAAUCAGUGUGUGUGUGUGUGUGUGCGCGCGCGCGCGCGCGUGCGGCUAUUUUGGUCACUUCUCCAGGCUGUGUACUCUUUGGUAACCUGUUUCUGAACAUUAUAUGUGAAAGACAAGGCGGUACAUGUUCCUAUUUUGUCACCCGUAGUUUUAAUAUUUUAAUGUGUGAUAGGCUAACAUUGCCUACUGGUUGUGAAGCCUGUGUAAUAGCACUAUACUCUUAAUUCUCCUGCUAGCUGUUUUCUCAUACCAUUUACAAUGUGGUCAGCAUUCGGAACAUUAUGAUGCU
rnacentral:lncRNA from 1 species